UUUCAGAAGAAGAAAAAUGCAUCCCAUUACAAAGAUUGAAGAGUCCCGUCGACACAAACGAGAUUUUUCAUUUGAGGAAUAUUUCAACAAACUCCAAACUCAGCAAGCGACCGCAGUUUCCUACGUCAGAAAAAUCAUGGGAACCGGACCAUUGGCGAAUAAUUUAAUUAUUGUCGGUAUAGGGGAACAUAAUAACAAUAAUAUAUACUUUUGAAUUA